UCCUCGCCUCCUCUGAACCAAAGAAGCUCGAAUUCUUUGGUCUGAGCAAAAGACAUUUGCAGAGCUUGAACGGGUUGCUUUCUCUCCUUCUCGAUUUGUCUAUUGGGCCGAAGUGUUUGGAUGCUGGGAAUGUCACUGGGGCCAUUGAUAGAUUCAAGCAAUUAAUUCAUAAUUUUAUUUCAGUUUUAACAACUAUAGAGGAACAACUUGAGGCUCUCGGCAUAGCUGUUGUUUCUGGUCAGAUAUGUUGGUCUCAUUAAUGAAACAGCAUCGGUGUGAUGAAGUUUCUUCAGGUGGCUGAAAGAGGCACUCCCCUUCAAAAGAUUGUAUCUAUGUAGGUUGUAUGGCUUAGAGAGGCUCAUGAGAUCUAGAGUAAUUUGAAGGCUUGUUAGGGAGUUAAUACAGGCAGAGAUACAAAAGGAUUUGGUAAGAUGUUCUUUUUCUAAGGAAUUUAAGAUCACAAAUGUUUGAAUCAAGGACAGUAACUUUAUUCUAUCAUCAAUAUUUGCUCUUGACACGAUAUAUGAGUUUCAGUAUAACAAGGUAUUGCUACCCCCUUGAGUACCUAGAAUACCAUCAUGUUAGUUUUAUCAGCUUGAUAACUGCUUAUGGAAAGAGCUAUAAACUGAUAUGUUCUCAUCACUAUCAUAUUUCAAUUUCCGGAAACUGUAGUGAUUCAACUGAUAUCUUGUUUUUAUUGGAGGAAGGAAAUGUGUAAAAGGAGCUCAGCCUGGUCCUGUUCUAACUUGGGCACAACCUGUUAAAAUUGCAGUGGGUGCUGCAAGAGGACUCAAGUAUUUACAUGAAAAGACGGACCCCCAUAUCAUUCAUCAUGAUAUCAAGUCCAGCAAUGUACUAAUAUUUGAUGAUGAUGUUGCUAAGAUUGCAGACUUUGAUUUAUCCAAUUAAGCUUCUGAUAUGGCAGCACGUCUUCACUCCACUAGUGUUCUAGGAACCUUUGGUUAUCAUGCCCCAAGUAAGCUUUUUUUGGGUUCUCUAAAGGUUGUGUUCUGCAACUUUGUAAUGCAUUUGGUCCUUCUCGACUAGAAACAAUGCUGUUUUGAUGGCUGAGAGUCCUUCAAAUUUGUAACUAUAAAAAACCCCAAAUUGUUUCAGAGGAUUUAGCACUUACUUAUUUUCCUCAUUGCAUAUUAAUCAGUGUGAACAUCAGCUUAGCCAUUAAAUACUUACUACCUACGAUUUCAGAGGAGAAUUCCCCGCCAAGGCUGUUGCAAAGAUGGCUGCAGUUGCUGCCUUGUGUGUGCAAUAUGAGGCUGAUUUCCGCACAAGCGUGAGCAUUGUGGUCAAAGCCGUAGACAACUAAUGCUAAAUGCUCGGCCUGGACCCACUGGUGAAUUGCCAAGCUUGUGAAUUUCAAUCCCAAUCCUCCUCUCAUCUAGCUCUGCCUGUGAAGAUGUGUCAAAUGUGCAUGCAUGCAGUAAUUCUGCAUAAUAUAACAAAUAAGUUUGUUCCA